rfam:Beta vulgaris subsp. vulgaris Bvchr7_un.sca019.con0002.1, whole genome shotgun sequence.
AGAUUGUGGUGUAGGAAUUCUCUCUGCAUGUCCUUGAACCUAUUCCAUGCUUCCUUUAGUAUUUCAUCGGGUUCUUGUUGGAAAGUAGCAAGUUUAUGUCUGAUUUC